GAACCGAGAGAGGCAGAAUUCACUGAGCCCUGAGCACCAGCCAAGUGGGAGAACUAAAGCAUCGCCAUUUGCCUUAGGCCUCCCCGUUUGCAAGAGGCUGAGCCCGGAGGAGUGCCUCUGAGCCUAGGCGUGCACAGCUGUUGGGCUGGGAGCCAGAGGGGGGAGCGCCUUCCUUCACCUGACUCAGAUUUGCUGUUGCACCUCCAGGUGUGUCUUUAUGGCUUUGCAAUUGUGCCUGGUGGGGUCAGAGCCCCGGGGCACAGACACAAAGCGGGUUUACUGGGCUCGCGCUCUGCCUGGAGACCUCUUUGGAGAUGUGGGGUGGGCUGCAUAUUUCCUGGGCAAAGACACCUGUCCCUUAGAGACUGUAUGGGGAGAAAGAGUAAACUGGGAGUCCGCACCGCGAAACACCACACCGUGUUUGCAGAUGAUGAAUUUCCGAGUUGGGGGCAGCCACUUAAAAAUGUGCCUAGUCAAUACAGAAACUGGGAGAUCUGAGUUCUAGCUCCGCUCCUGCGUAAACUUGGAAAAGUCUCAAUUUCCCUGUGAGAUUGUUCCCACAUUUGUAAAAUAGAGGUUCUGAUAGCUUGUUCCCUUCUAGCUUGAGAUACCUGUUUUUAUGAACGAAUGCCAAGUAAAUUGGUGCCCAAAAUAGAUGUGAACUGGAAGACAACAGAGGGUACUGCAGGCCUGAAGGCCGGGAGGCAGGGCUUUGUGCCAGCUUUUUGUAAACUAUAACGUUUGCUAUCAACUAAGGCCCUCUGUAGCUCAAAGGUUGUGCAUAUCUGAGUUCCUUGGUAGAGAUGAGCCCUAGGCUAUUGAACUGGACUUCUGAACACCCUGAAAACUCCAUCCCAUAGCUGACAGACCAGAAAAUAUAGGGCAUGCCCAUCUUAUCCAUAAGGUGGCGUCAGAGGUGCGCCUGGAAUCACAGAAAACCCCUCUCACGACCCUCCCUCACGGGCGGCUUCCUCCUGCACGGCACCUUCCUUCGCUUCCGAAAUUGCUCUUCAGUCCUGUUGCUUUAAGGCUAACCAAGGGGCUCUUGCAAAGGGGAAGCCCUCACUCUUAAGGAAUGCGCUCACCGAGAACAUUAACCUCUGCAAAAGCAACUUCUGGAAACACUCCCCGUUAAAGAAAAAGGACCCGGGACACUUACCUUGUUGACGCGGAGCAGAUACUCCAACAAAUUAUCUCCCAA